CCGAUACUGCGUUUCCCCUCACAGAAGCCCUCCCAGCAAGGCACUGUUUGGCAAUGUGUAUGUGGGUGUGAAUGCCUCUCAUUCUCUCCUGCUCUUCUCUGCCAUUCCAGUGCUGAGUCUUGAACUUGGCAGCUGUUGGCUCUUCCACUGCAAAAGCCCAAGAUCUCCUGCCCCGUGAUUUGACUUGGGAUGACAGAGAGGAAAACAUGAACCAUAAAGUGCAGGUAAACAAACACAGUACAUGGUCUCAGUUUGCUCUGGUUGAAGAUCUGUUCCAUUACCUUCAGUGCCAAGACAGCUGGGAUCUUCUUAUCAUCCUUGUAUUGGGAUGACUGCAGCAAAGGCAUAAAACGCUCGCUUUCUUCAGGCAGCCCUGUGAAUAUCGUGCUCAUUUAAGAAGUAUGUAAAGAAGACAUCACCACUGGAUACAUGUUCUCUGGUAGCAAUCAAUGCACAGCAUAUGCUUUUGAUGAGGUUAGAUAACAAGCAUCACAUGGAGCAAGGAGUACCACGCACACACACCCUUCUGAAUAUGUCAGCAAUAAAAUGAGAACUACAAAGGUGAGCA
rnacentral:lncRNA from 1 species